AAAACAGUCGGUGAGUGUGCUGUGUUCUGUUUCACGAGUACUGUCUGAUCCCAUAGAGUACCACGUGACUGAUAAGAAAGACACAGAAAAUGUGCGUCUGUGAAAACCCAGGGUGUCUGACAACAGCUUAUAUCUGGUCUCACCAUCAUCGACAAAAAAGAGAAAUUCUGAGAAGAACUGUGGCAAUGUCUCCAAGACGCUUGAAGAACCAAUAUGUGUUCAAGUUCAGCGCAGUCUCAGACGACAUGUCAAAUCCCGCAAGCUGCCGAAAGGUAUGAGUCAUAACAGAAAGGACUGCACAUCAGUCGGUCACACUUGAUGACUCAUUUCGGAGGAGAUUAAUUGACAUUGCGGUCGCAGCACUGCAACGCGGUGCCAACAUCUCUAUAUUGGCUUGCUAAAUUGCAAGACAAGCCCCAACAGAGGUGCAAAGACGUAAACUCAGGCACAUACUCAGAGGGCAGCCAACACUGCAGUUCAAGCCAAAUGCUUAGAUUACGUCAAUAGCAGCUUCUAAUGCAGAGCCUCGGGGAGAGACCUAACCGCCAUUCACAACACAGACACCACACAGAUACUAACAACGGCUCAGGUUACCUGCAGGAGAGGUAACGUUUCCCCCAGAGAACACUGUGCACCUCUGCAUACUGAGGACAUAGACUUUUAUCCACACUUUCUCUUUCUCUCUCAUACAUACACACAGAGGUUUUGAGAAUACUAAACACAACAACACACACAAUUGGAGAAAUAUGACAACAAGUAUACAAUUAAAAAAGAAUUGCACUUUGUAUAGCACCCAUAUUCGCACAAACAAGAGAGAUGUUCAUUAGACUCCAUUAUGAACAAUUAACACUUGUUAACCUCUGAAUUCCCUUUAAAUACGGUGUGGACGUUUUAAACCUGCCUAUAAAAAGCUGUUGUUUAAGGAAGCAUCUUCAGACAUUCAGACAAAAGAAUGUUGAUAUUUCACAGCUGUACAUUUCUGAGCUGAUGUAAAUGUGGGUGUAUAUGCACAUAUCUAUGUGUGUGUGUGUGUGUGUGUGUGUGGGUGGUUUCAAACCAGAGCCAAACCAAUAGUUUUUCUUUUGGCUGGUAUUUCUUGAUCAUCUUGCACUGAAAGCAAAGCAGCCGAACGAAAACAGAUUUGUGUUUACUGCAGACUAAUGGGUGUGAAAACCAAGCGUGUAAGGAAAUGAAAUUUAGAACAGAUUUAUCCCUGAAUCAUAAUCAAACUCAUCCAAAAUGUUUUCAGUGGUAUUAAUUGUUGUUGGAAUAAAGGGACAGUUCAACCAAAAAUCUGUCAUUAUUAAUUACACUCAUGUCGUUUAAAACCUGUAUAUGACUCUUUAUUUCUGUGAAACACAAAAGAAGAUAUUUUGAGAAAUGUCUCGGAGGGUUUGCGUCCAUAUAAUGGUAGUCAAUGGGGGCCUAAGUCGUUAGGUUGCCAUGUUCUUUUACCAUCAUCUUUUGUGUUCUGCAGACGAAAGUCAGUCAUACAGGUUUGAAAUAACAUGAGGAUCAGUGAAUGAUGUAAGAAUUUUUAUUUUGGGGUAAAAUAUCCAUUUAACAACUUAGAUUUGCCUUCUUAACGGCAAACAAUCUCUGUGUGAAAUCCCGCCUCUGCGUAUGCGUGCACGUCUAUUAAACACACCAUCUAUAAUUGAUGAGUUAGCACACGAGAAACCACAGGAAUUAGUGCUGAUGCUGAAACAAAACAUGAAAACAUCUCACCACACAGGCACGUGGUAUUUCUAUAUAAAGGUGUAUAAACCCGCUGUAGCGUUUAUAGAUCGUGCACUCAAUCGCGAAUGAAUAAAAAUGAUCAAAGCUUCUUUAUAGCAAAAUUGUUUUUUAGGGGCCCUUGAGAAUGCAUAAGUGCAUAAAUUACCAUCCCGUUACAACUGAGCAUGCGUUCAUACUAUCAUCUUCCUCCAUGUGAUCUGCUCUUGUACUAACUGUCCAUGUGCAUUUUAUUAAAAGGAUGAAAUCCAGUCCGUCCAGACUCCCUAGUGAUAUUUCUAUAGGUGAGCUGCUUCAGCGUGCUCUCUGGUUAAUUUCAAAGGCGGGCUCCGGCAGAGAAUAAUAAACAGGUUGCGCGUGAUGACUCAUCAGUUUCGAAGAGGUGAGGAUGUCGUGUUGAAGCACUUAUCACUCCACAAACUCAAAGCCAUUACCUUUCCACCCACGCAACGGCACCCACGAUCAGAACAAUAGAUAGUCUUUCUCAUGCUUUCACACAGUUACAUCCUUCUGUCAUAAACAUGUUUCGCACUCCAUCACUCUCACUCGCUUCUUUUCUUUGCGUUUAAAGGAAUAGUA